rnacentral:rRNA from 1 species
ACAGAGGUCUCAAGCGUUGUUCGGAUUCAUUGGGCGUAAAGGGUGCGUAGGUGGUGGGGUAAGUCGAAUGUGAAAGCCCUCGGCUCAACCGAGGAAGUGCAUUCGAUACUGUUUCGCUUGAAUGCCGGAGGGGAUGGCGGAAUUCCCGGUGUAGAGGUGAAAUUCGUAGAUAUCGGGAGGAACACCUGUGGCGAAGGCGGCCAUCUGGACGGCGAUUGACGCUGAGACGCGAAAGCGUGGGUAGCAAACAGGA